rfam:Candidatus Nanosalina sp. J07AB43 genomic scaffold scf_7180000030737, whole genome shotgun sequence.
GCCGAGGUGACAGAGCUUGGUCAAUUGUGCCAGCCUGGAAAGCUGGUGAUCCUUAAACGGAUCUCCUGGGUUCGAAUCCCAGCCUCGGCG